rnacentral:rRNA from 1 species
CGCGAAGAACCUUACCUGGGCUUGAUAGUAAGUGACCGCUGGUGAAAGCCAGUUUUCUAGCAAUAGACACAAAGCAAGGUGCUGCACGGCUGUCGUCAGCUCGUGCCGUGAGGUGUUGGGUUAAGUCCCGCAACGAGCGCAACCCCCAUCACUAGUUGCCAUCAGGUAACGCUAGGAACUCUAGUGAAACUGCCGUCGUAAGACGCGAGGAAGGAGGGGAUGAUGUCAAGUCAUCAUGGCCUUUAUGCCCAGGGCUACACACGUGCUACAAUGGGUAGGACAAAGGGUUGCGACCUGGUGACAGGGAGCUAAUCUCAAAAACCUACUCUCAGUUCAGAUCGCAGUCUGCAACUCGACUGCGUGAAGCUGGAAUCGCUAGUAAUCGUAUAUCAGCAAUGAUACGGUGAAUACGUUCCCGGGCCUUGUACACACCG